rnacentral:rRNA from 1 species
UACGUAGGGUGCAGGCGUUACUCGGAAUUACUGGGCGUAAAGCGUGCGCAGGCGGCUCCUUAAGUCAGAUGUGAAAGCCCCGGGCUUAACCUGGGAACUGCGUUUGAAACUGGGGAGCUAGAGUGUAGAAGAGGGGGGUGGAAUUCCAGGUGUAGCAGUGAAAUGCGUAGAGAUCUGGAGGAACACCGAUGGCGAAGGCAGCCCCCUGGGCUAACACUGACGCUCAUGCACGAAAGCUGGGGGAGCAAACCGG